rnacentral:rRNA from 1 species
AUUGAACGCUGGCGGCAGGCUUAACACAUGCAAGUCGAGCGGAGAUGAGGUGCUUGCACCUUAUCUUAGCGGCGGACGGGUGAGUAAUGCUUAGGAAUCUGCCUAUUAGUGGGGGACAACAUUCCGAAAGGAAUGCUAAUACCGCAUACGUCCUACGGGAGAAAGCAGGGGAUCUUCGGACCUUGCGCUAAUAGAUGAGCCUAAGUCGGAUUAGCUAGUUGGUGGGGUAAAGGCCUACCAAGGCGACGAUCUGUAGCGGGUCUGAGAGGAUGAUCCGCCACACUGGGACUGAGACACGGCCCAGACUCCUACGGGAGGCAGCAGUGGGGAAUAUUGGACAUUGGGGGAAACCCUGAUCCAGCCAUGCCGCGUGUGUGAAGAAGGCCUGAUGGUUGUAAAGCACUUUAAGCGAGGAGGAGGCUACUGAGACUAAUACUCUUGGAUAGUGGACGUUACUCGCAGAAUAAGCACCGGCUAACUCUGUGCCAGCAGCCGCCGCGG